rnacentral:tRNA from 1 species
GCGGCGGUGCUGGAAUCGGCAUACAGGGCAGGCUCAAACCCUGCUGCCCUUCGGGGCUUGUGGGUUCGAAUCCCACCCGCCGCA